GGGGAGGAGGGAGCAGCCAGGCUGUACUCACUGAAUCACUUUUGCAGCACAGUGGAGACAGAUUGCGCUAGGCUAGCCUAAGCCAGAUAGCGUGAGCAGCAGGCAGCCAACCACAUUGCAAACAACAAACUACUCCUUCAGUGCACGGUGCUUGAUCCCAAGUUGGAAUAGAAAACUUCAAGUGGCUCUAGGCAAAAACAACAAAGGAGUCGCUUUUUAGUGGAAAAUACCUACUUUCGGGUGUGUGUGCGUGCAUCUGUGUUCAAACUGGGUGCGGUUGGCAGGGGAUGGAGUGGUAAUUACCGGCUGUGUGGAACUGAACUGGAAACACACUUCUCUAUAACAUCCGUUAUAUGCAACCUGACAAUGACACAUUACACCUCCAGGCUGUGUAAGGGCUAUUUGACCAAGAAGGAGAGUGAUGGAGUGCUGCAUCAGAUGACCUGGACUCCAUCAUCACCAGACCUCAACCCAAUUGAGAUGCUUUGGGAUGAGUUGGACCACAGAGUGAAGGAAAAGCAGCCAACAAGUGCUCAGCAUGUGGGAAAUCCUUCAAGACUGUUGGAAAAGCCUUCCAGGUGAAGCUGGUUGAGAGAAUGCCAAGAAUGUGCAAAGCUGUCAUCAAGGCAAAGGCUGGCUGCUUUGAAGAAUAUAAAAUAUAUUUUGAUUUGUAUAACACUUUUUUGGUGCCUGCAUGAUUCCAUGUGUUAUUUCAUAGUUUUGAUGUCUUCACUAUUAUUCUACAAUGUGGAAACUAUUACAAAUAAAGAAAACGCUUGAAUGAG